GUUGCUAAUACCGCAUAAGCGCACGAGAGGACAUCCUCUUGUGUGAAAAACUCCGGUGGUACAGGAUGGGCCCGCGUCUGAUUAGCUGGUUGGCAGGGUAACGGCCUACCAAGGCGACGAUCAGUAGCCGACCUGAGAGGGUGAUCGGCCACAUUGGAACUGAGACACGGUCCA
rnacentral:rRNA from 1 species